AGGAGGUGCUGCGACCAGGGAACUCCACGCCAGGAACAGUGAACAAGGCUGUGCAGACCAAGGAAACUGUCGAGAGGCCUGAGGAGAAGCUGCAGGAGUCCCCGAGCCCACCGCCAUCGCCAGGAAAUGGAAGGCCACGGAAGAGGAGCAUCUGCCUGCUGGUGCCUUGCGAGACCCACCCACUGGUGCAGCCCCCUGCACCUGACCUGGGCUACCCCAUCACAGAGGAGAUCAUCGAGGAGGAGAGGGAGGCAGCGCGGCAGUGACUACACCGGCUCUUGGGGCAUAAGGCUGAUGCGGUCCCCAGCAC